CUUUUGGGGAAAGAACCGCCCCACUUUUCCACAGCCGCACAAACCUUCUCUCUCAUCAGUUCUCAACUUCUCAUCCCUAAAAUCAUACUUUCUCUCCCCAUUGUUCUGCUUCAAAUCUGUUCUGCUUCUGUUCUGCUUCAAAUCUCUUGCUCGAAUACAGAUUUGGUUGAAAACCCAGAUAUGGUAUGUUUCCUAGGUUAUGAAAAUUUGGAAAGCUUUUUUUUUGUACCUUGCUUAAUAAAAGAUUUGUGUUGAACCUUUUUUGGUUUAAAAAUGAGAAACUAGAUUUUUGAAACUAAGAUUGGAACUUGAUAAAGAGAUUUGAAUUCUAGUUCGAUAUUGUUAAUUAUGACUGGAUUUUGAAGGAAAUUUUUUGGAGAUUCUCUCUGCUUCUCACUUCUCGCAGUUUACUCCAUGCUCGGUGAUAUAUUGAAAAAACAUUGGAUACUAUGAAGCAGAAGUUACAAGGACAGGUAAGACUUGGAUGCGGCCUUAGGGAGGUGAGUACAUGUAUGCUCUGCUAUCUCAUGUCUCACACCAAAUCUUUAACUUUAUGCAAAAAGGGAAUUUCUAAAAUAUCAAAUUUCAUAGUGCAUGUAUAAUUACAGACUAUUUUUCUAAGCUGAAAUAUGUUGAUUCUAGAUUGUGUUCUACUAUAAUGAGAAUUAAUUCUCUGUACAAAAGAACAAGGCUUGCAGUAUAACUAAUGACUUGCUGACUAUGUUGAAAAUGACUUUUCAUUCUCCUGCUAUAUUGUAACUGAGUCCAUGCAUUUUUCCAGUCUUACUUCUCCUCGAUUUCUUAAUGUAGCUUGAUUUGGCCUUGUUUUAAAUUUUCAUAUGUUAUCAUUGGCGCAAAGUAUGAGUUUAAUUUCUGAAAUGCAUCAAAGUUUGUCCUAGGCUUUGAAGAUAAUAGCAAGAUGAGAACUUAAGAUACAACACAAAAGGGUGCGUAUAGGUUUUAUAACUCCAUUGCUUGACUGAGUUACAUAUAUAUCUUUGAAUUUAUGUUAGUUCUCCACCUGAUCGACUUAACACAAUGAUGGUUUGCAUCUUAUCUUAAUCACUGAACAUUAUAAUAUUUAUAUUUCUUUUCUUUACGAAUGCAAUGAUUGAUGUUCAAGUUGUGUUUUUUCAAUUUUAGUUUCAAUUAGUUUUAUAUGAAAAUUGGUAGUUUUGUAUUUUUGUUUGAUAUAUAGUGUCCCUCAGAUUAUGUUUUCUCUUCUCGUACAUCUUUACUCCGUGCCCAGGUGUUUUAAAAUUUUCUUUUUGAAUAUGUGGAUAUUAUUUUGGAUUCCAAGUUUCAAUUUCAGUAAUUAAAUUGAGAUUUUAGGUACUAAUACGGUUUGUCAAUUAAAUUCUGAAAUCCAGGGUCAGAUUUAAGUUCAGCAACUUUUUAAGGUAUGUUUAUCUUUGUGUCUUCUAUGAAACUUAAUACUCCGUAUUUGAUUGCAGUCAUGAUUUCUUGCCUUGAAGCAUUCAUUUUUCGUCUAACUAAUAGUCUAUUCUGUUCUCAUAGCCUUGUAUUCUAAAUUUACAGUUUGUCUGCACCAUUUGAAUUUGAUCCCCUUGACAGAUUUAAUCUGAUACUUGAAUUGGUUUGGUAUGGAGAAACCUACAUGGAAAAGAAAAGGUUUACUUUUGACUGCUACCAUUCGUGUGACAUCCGAUUCAUUCUCUUCAUCUCUGAGGGCUUAUAAUAGUUGAGAUUGAAAGCUGAAAGAGCCGUUGCUGAGUAUAAGAGAAGAAUAUAAAUCUGGCAGCUAGACAGUCAUAUAAUGAAGUGAUAGUAAAAGAUCAUUACUGCAUAAGUUUGUUCAGGAUGCAUUUGAAGAUUAUUAUAGUGGUGGAAGAAAAGAAUCAAGGGAUAAUAUAUAGCUCCUGCUACUAUGUAGCUCAUAUUCUUGAAGUUAUAGGCUUUGAGUGACCUUUGUUUUGAAGAUGACAUUUAGAAUAACAAGUUGAAAUUAUAAUAGUAAACGUGAUGUUUUGGUAAUAAAUUUUUGUUUUGGAGAUGCUAGCUAAUUAAAUAGUUUGGAUAAUUUGUAAACAUAAUUCGAUGAUAUGUUUUGGAGCGAGUACAUAUUAUUAUAUAAAUUAAUGUAAUUAGUAUCGUUAAUUAUUUAUCA